CUGAGUGGAUCCGUUAGACACAUGGUGGCAAUAUCAUGGUUUUCUGGAUUUCCAUCCUCAACAGGCACACCCGCUCAGGCUCUCCAUCCGGGACUCCUUCCACCCCCUCCAGUGGUCCCUGAAGAUCCCCAUCGGAUGGAAAGGAUUCCACAGCCAUCCACAGCACUGCUCUGGCAGGAAUGCACUAGUCCAUUUAUACAGCUGCCCAGCGUUGAUAACCGGCCGGUUGCUUGUCCACACUGACUCACAUUGGAUCGAAGGCCCUCAUUACCCUCACUGGUUUAAUGAUAUUCUCUGAUUAAACUUGGCCAGCUGGCCAGCCUAGAGGGAGCCUCUGUGGACUUUUCCUAUAUCUCUCUGGGUAGGGACUGACCUGCUGCUCCAGCCUCUUUUGAAAGAAUCCUGUUCAUAUUUGCUUUCCUCCUUUAUAGAGACGACAAACAAGUGGAUCGAAAGUACAACUCAUUUUCCAAAUUCAUCUCAUAAAUAUGACACAACAUUAAAAACACACCAAAAAGACUGAGGAAUUUAAAACGAGGGAGAUUAUGGUGUAGAAGACUGGACUGGGAGUCAGGGCACCCGCGUUCAAGACCCAACUCUUGGAUUCAUAGACCAUGUGAUUUUACCAUUUACCUCUCUGAAUUUCAGAACUGUCAUCUCCAGAAAUAAAAUCCUAUUUAUGACAAAAAAAAUCCUGUUUAUGUCAUUAGUGCAUCAAACAAAAGAAAUCAGGUGAAGUUCCACUGAAUUGGAGGAUCACUUUAGGUUAUGUUAGUAACAUUAGCUCCGUGAGGAGCACCUCAAAGAAAUCAUUGUACCCAUCAGGAUAGUCCUGGGGAUGACUUGGUAACAAGUUCUUCCCCAACCUCAGAGACUUAAUAUAACCCAAACUUCUUUCUUACACUGUAUAUUUGUAGGAUUGGUAUGGCCCUGCUUCACCUUGUCUUUACUCCAUGACCUGGGUGGAGAAUAAAGCCCCUGUGUGGGACAUUGCUGGUCUUACGGAAGAAGGAACAGAGAUGGCAAGCUACAUCCUGGGUGUUAGAGCUUCUCAGUGGCCAAAAUAAAUCAUGCGACCAUGCCUGUCAUUACUGGGGAAGGAGGUGCCAUCCUCCUGCUGGAGGAGCAUCACACGAGGGGCUGUGAGAUGUCUGGCCACCAGCAGCACGGUCUAUAGCAGAACUCAUCCUCCAAAGCAUCUGGGAAAAAAAAAGCUAAAAAAAAAAAAAAAAAAAAAAAAAGCUUGGUGAUAGGCCUUUGGGCCCAUCUAUGUGGAAGUAUUUUCUCAAUGUUAAGUCACCAUAAAGCCGUAAACAGAUUAAUCAAUCAAGUAUGAGCUCCGACUGUUAAUCUGUAGUCCAGCUACUUCUCACAUGGCUCUGCAGUGUGUUCCAGACCAGCAGCAGCAGGGAAGCACUGAUUUAAUGAUUGAAGGUUCUCCAAACAACACUGGGGAGGCCGGCUAGGCUCCUAGGUGGGGAGCAAAAUACUCAUUCUGCUGAUUUCACAGGCUUUCUGGGGGUUGAAUAUGAUGUCAUGUGUAACAAGACCAUGUCGCUGCCAGCAGGAGCUCCUGAGGAGUAGGGAGUAGAGUUUACUCCCCUUGGGAUCCCCAGCGCCUAGCCCAGGGAGCAUGUAGUAGAAUCUAAAUGAAUGCUGAUGAGAUGAAUGACUAAAUGAGGACACAUGCAAGGAAAUUGAGUUAGGGUAAGAAAAAAAAAGCCCAAAUCUAUAUUUGAAAAUGAUGGUUAAACUCUUCUUAUGGAGUCAGCAUAACCUUAAUUGAGAAAAAUGAUCAAGGUGGAAACAUUACAAACCAACACUUCUCAUGAAAAUGAAUCCAAUAGCCUUAAACAAGGAGCUUUACUCAUGGUAAUGCAGUAGCUCGUAUUGGGCCAACGCUCCUGAAGCAACAAUUAUACACUCUGAAGAAAAUAUUUAAAAGAAUAAUAGUCGAAGACACCUAAGAGCAGAUAGAAGCUGGAGGAGGAUUCACGUUUAGAAGAAAGGGGUGGUGCAAGGUGAGCCACUAUUUUUUUAAAAUAGUUUUUUGUUACAUAAAGGAAGAGUAUGAGAGAAAAUAAAUGAAAGCAAAAGAAAACUUUAAUUUUUCUUAUUCUUAAGUGAAAUAAAAGGUAACUGUUUAAGUAGUAAUAGUAAGGAGGUAUUGGGUGGAUACAGCUUUGGGUAAGUGAAACAAAUGACAGCAGUGUCAUGAGGGAUGGGAGAGAAAAAUUAGGAAUCCCCUGUUAUAAGAGACCCCUCAUACAUGUAAAGUGGUAUAAUAAAGGUAUAUCCAGAUUAGUUUAAAAAUGUAUAUUGCAAACUCUAGGGCAAUCAUUACAAAAUGUAAUAAAGAAAUAUUAUGUUAAGAGAAGAGAUAAAGUGAAAUCAUAUGAAAUGUUUAUUUACAACCAGAAAAGCCACAAAGAGGGAGGGAAAGAAAACCAAAACAAAGGACAAAUGUAAUAACAGAAAUAAGUUACAAAUAUGGUAGAUAUUCAUCUAACGCUAUCCAUGAUUAAUUUGAAUGUGAAUAGUCUAAAUGUAUUAAUUAAAAGGUUGUCUGAAUAAAAAAAGACUCAACUAUGUCACUUCAAGAAACCCAUUUUAUUUUUUUUUGACAUUUUAAAAAAGAUUUUAUUUAUUUAUUUGAGAGAGAGAGUGUGUGUGAGCACAAGCUGGGGGAGCAGAAGGGAGAGAGAGAAGCAGACUCUCCACGGAGCAGGGAGCCCAACUUAGGGCUCAAUCCCAUGACCCUGGGAUCAUGACCUGGGCUGAAGACAGAUGCUUAACCAACUGAGCCACCCAGGGACCCUGAAACCCACUUUAAAUAUAAAAACUCAGGUUUGCUGAGCACAAACAGAUGGAAAGAGAUAUACCAUGCUCAUGUUAAAUGAAAGAGAGCUGGGAUGACUAUAUUAAUUUUAGACAAAGCACACUUCAGAAUAUAGAAAACUAUCAAGGAUAAAAAGCGUCAUUACAUAAUAGUCAAGGGAUCAAUUAAUUCUCCAAGACAUAACAAUCCUAAAUGUGUGGGCACCUAACAACAGAACAUCAAAAUAUGUGAGUCAAAUUCAAAGAGAACUAGACAAAAUCCACUAUUAUAGUUGGAGACUUCAACACACCUUUUUCAGGAAUUGAUAAAUCAAGCAGAUAGAGAAUCAGUAAGGGUGUAGUUGACCUGAAUGGCAUCAUCAAUCAACUUGAUUUAUUGACAUUUCUAAAAUACUCCACCCCAAAGCAGCAGAAUUUAUAUUCUUCUCAAGCUUACAUGGACCAUUUGUGAAGAUAGAGCACAUCCUGGGCCAUGAAACAACCUUAACAAAUGUAAGGGAAUAGGAAUCAUACAGUGUGUGUUCUCAGACCGCAAUGGAAUUAAAUUAAAAAUCAAUAACAGAAAGAUAGUUGGAAAAAUCUCCAGAUACCUGAAGAUUAAACAAUACACUUCUAACACAUGGAUUGGGUCAAAGAAGAAGUCUCAAGAGAAAUAUUUUUAACCAAAUGAGAAUAAGAAUACAACUUAUCUAACUGUGUGGGAUGCAAAAGAAGGACUGCUUACAGAGACAUUUACAGCAUUGAAUGUAUAUAUUAGAAAAAAAAAGAUUUAAAAUCAAUAAUCUAAGCUUCUACAGUAGGACACUAGAGAAAGAAGAGCAAUUUAAUACUAAAUCAAGCAGAAGGAAAGAAAUAAAAAUUAAAGCAUAUAUAAACAAAAUUGAAAACAGAAAAUCAAUAUAGAAAACCAACAAAAUCAAAAGCUGAUGUUUUGAUUAAAAAAUCAAUAAACUUGAUAAAUCUCUAGGCAGACUAACCAGAAGAAAACCCCAAUAUUAGAAAUAAAUGAGGGGGAUCCCUGGGUGGCUCAGCGGUUGAGAGCCUGCCUUUGGCCCAGGGCCUGAUCCUGGAGUCUCGGGAUCAAGACCCAUGUCAGGCUCCCUGCAUGGAGCCUGCUUCUCCCUCUGCCUGUGUCUGUGCCUCUUUCUCUCUGUGUGUCUUUCAUGAAUAAAUAAAUAAAAUAUUUUUUAAAAAGAAGCUCAGGCUCUGGGGAAAGCACAUCCCCAUUCUUAGCGACAGCACCUUUCUUCUCUGCCUUCUUCUUUAGGUCCCUCCUUUGGCUUGAGGGUCACUACCUCCAGGAAGCCUUCCCUAAUCCGCGCCUCCUCCCUGUUAAAUACUCCCGUCGCCCCCCUAUUCCUCUGUCAUCAACAUCGGCCUACGUGUCACUACUCGUUCAGUGUUUUGUCCACAGGUUUCAGGCAUCUGGAAGGCAAGGAUGGCUCGAGCAUCUCUGCGUCCUCUUCACAAGACA
rnacentral:lncRNA from 1 species